rnacentral:tRNA from 6 species
GGGACUUUAGCUCAACGGUCAGAGCAGCGGACUCAUAAUCCGUUGGUUGUAGGUUCGAAUCCUACAAGUCCCACCA